rnacentral:rRNA from 1 species
UACGUAGGAGACGAGCGUUGUCCGGAAUUAUUGGGCGUAAAGAGCUCGUAGGUGGCCUGUCGCGUCGGCUGUGAAAACUCGGGGCUCAACUCCGAGCUUGCAGUCGAUACGGGCAGGCUAGAGUUCGGCAGGGGAGACUGGAAUUCCUGGUGUAGCGGUGAAAUGCGCAGAUAUCAGGAGGAACACCGGUGGCGAAGGCGGGUCUCUGGGCCGAUACUGACACUGAGGAGCGAAAGCGUGGGGAGCGAACAGG